rnacentral:rRNA from 1 species
UACAGAGGGUGCAAGCGUUAAUCGGAAUUACUGGGCGUAAAGCGUGCGUAGACGGUUAUGUAAGUCGGGUGUGAAAGCCCCGGGCUCAACCUGGGAAUGCCAUUCGAGACUGCAUAGCUAGGGUGCGGAAGAGGGAAGCGGAAUUUCCGGUGUAGCGGUGAAAUGCGUAGAUAUCGGAAGGAACACCAGUGGCGAAGGCGGCUUCCUGGUCCAGCACCGACGUUCAGGCACGGAAGCGUGGGGAGCAAACAGG